GAUGAACGCUGGCGGCGUGCCUAAUACAUGCAAGUCGAGCGAACAGACGAGGAGCUUGCUCCUCUGAUGUUAGCGGCGGACGGGUGAGUAACACGUGGAUAACCUACCUAUAAGACUGGGAUAACUUCGGGAAACCGGAGCUAAUACCGGAUAAUAUAUUGAACCGCAUGGUUCAAUAGUGAAAGACGGUCUUGCUGUCACUUAUAGAUGGAUCCGCGCUGCAUUAGCUAGUUGGUAAGGUAACGGCUUACCAAGGCAACGAUGCGUAGCCGACCUGAGAGGGUGAUCGGCCACACUGGAACUGAGACACGGUCCAGACUCCUACGGGAGGCAGCAGUAGGGAAUCUUCCGCAAUGGGCGAAAGCCUGACGGAGCAACGCCGCGUGAGUGAUGAAGGUCUUCGGAUCGUAAAACGCUGUUAUUAGGGAAGAACAAAUGUGUAAGUAACUAUGCACAUCUUGACGGUACCUAAUCAGAAAGCCACGGCUAACUACGUG
rnacentral:rRNA from 1 species